GACACGCUGUGAACCAGCCCGUGAGUGGUGUCUCGGGAGGGAUAGGCAUCCUCUGGAAUUAGCUUGGGCGGUGGAGCUCAGUGCAUGGAGCAGUGCCGCCCAGGAGUGUGCAAGUGUUUGUCCACGCUGGGCUCUCCCCCUCCACCUCUAUGAGGCCACUUCUACCUCGACCCUGGCCCUGCAGGGCCUCCCCAUCCAGGCAUCCCAUGGGAUCCAUCAGAUUGGACAUUCUGAAUGGCCCAGCGUGGGUCCCCUGCCCGCUUCCUGGUCCAGCCGGCUGUGGCUACAUAAGUGGUUUUGUGUAAGACACUCUGGGGAGCGUGCACCUGGGAUCAGGUGGGGAGCUGGAUCCCCCAGGGGCUCUGAGACUCCUAAACACCUGCUCUUCCUAACAGUGGCCCUGCCUUCAUGCAGGAGGUCUCAUUAUUCAUUUUUAAAUCUGUCAAUUUUCCUCCCCGAGAACAAACUCCAGCUUCCUGAUCCCUUAGAGUCAGGCGUGGCCCUGUGACUCCCCUCAGCCAGUGCAGAGCUGGGGACAGCUGUCACCUGUGAGAGGAAGUUGUGGGAGCUCUUGAGCUCUUGCCCUUUGCUCCUUUCUUCUGACAAAAGGAAGAGAUGCUAAUGCUCACUGCCAUUGUCAAUCUGGUGUCAUCGAGGUUUGUCAUUUCGUAUGACACCUUCUCCUUCUCUGUGGUUAUGCCGUGGCGACUCUUGAUUCCGCGGUGUUCUUACAAAGAGUGUUGACGCUUCUGUCUUAGCGGGUGGUUCACUUGGGCCAGCAGCCCAGAUCUCUCCCUUCUCCUGCUUUCCCUGCAAGCCGCCAGCUCUGCUCAUGUGAGCGCCGUCCAGGAGUCUGAUGGCCCUCUGAUCUGGCUGCCUCCUCUCUGGGACUCUUGGCACUUUCUAGCAGCACUGGUUGUCUUGAUGGGUUGGGUCCUUCAGGCCAGAAAGGUGGCCGCUGUUUCGUGGAAUUUCAGUCCAUCCAUACUGUGACCUGGAGCUGUUCUCUGCAGAAGGGCAGUCUAGUAGGACCUACAGAGCCACAGUGGAGAGGGAGCAGGCUCUGUCCAGGCUGAGAGGGCCCACAAGGAGGGCUGGAAGUAGACUUCUGGGUAGAAAGCCAAUGAGGCAUAUUUGUCUCUUCACUAUAACUUACCCUCAUACUGACUGAUCAGCCCACUAGAACAAUCCAGAAUAUGACUGUUUAAUCAUUUCCCACUAUGCUUAUGAAACCUGCUCAAGGACUAACAAAUUUCCACAAAUCUUUUUGAUUCCAUGAGAUUUGCUUUUCCUACUUUGCCUGUUCAGAUCCUGCACAUGGUAUUCUUUCCUUCUCCAUUUUCUCUGCAAUCAUAAAAAAAGUAAUGUUUCUUAAAUUUGAAACAUAUUCUUGAUUGCACGGUGCAUAUUCCUGCAGAAGGACACAAAUCAGAGGACAGACUCGGUGUGCAUGUGCCUUGGGUAAGUCAUUUCUUGCUGUCCACACAGUCCCCACAUCUCUAAAUGAAAAAAUCUUAUGCGACAUAGCUCAGAUGUUUCUUUCUCCUUUAAAAUUAAAAUUAGUCCAUGAUUCAUCGAAAAAUUUUUGUGUCACUCUGGAACCCUAAAUGAUGAUUCAAUUUACAAAAAUGUGAUCUAUAUGCAAAUUUGAGGGAAAUGGGUCCCUGGAUAGGGUCAUGGUGUGUUUUCCCUUCCAAAGAUCCUGUUGAAGAAUAUAAUUAAAGUAAAAAAAAAAAUUGAUAUAAUCUCAUGUAUAUUUUAAAUUCUAAAAGUAAUUGCACUAUCAUUGCUUCAAGGUCAGGUUAUCUUCUAAAAGUGCUCAUUAUCAGGUUCUUAGCCUUCUUUCAAAACCAACACGGGCCCAGUCUAAGAACAUGUCAAGAAAGGUCAGUAGAUGCCGAGGUAAAUCAAUUUGCAUAGGCGGCAAAAAUGAGGGGAGUUGUUCCCACGGCUUCUAAUAAAAGCAUAGAGAUAUGUAAAAAAUGAGAGCUCGUUGGCAGAGGCAAACACAAUACAGUGAUCUAUAAAUAUUUCAUAAUCCCAGCCCCACGAGUGCUCAUUGUUUGGUGGUUCUCUCUAUUAUGAGUAAUCAUGGGUUGCUUUCUGUUUGCUUCUGGCUUUUCCUGCUCAUCAUCUCUGGAACGGCACCCACUCAGUUCUUCCUUGUUCACCUCCUCCUGGUGCGUGGAGGGUCCACGCAGUCGUCAGAUGCAUGCAGAGCUGAACGUUGAACACCCAGGGUGCCUCUCUAGAGUCGAAGCACAUGGUCCCUGAGACCUGGAAACCAGAGGUGAAGUCCUCGCACAUUCACUUUCCCUGGAAGAACCUUGCUCUCUAUGCUAAAUUCGGGGAUCUGGGUGAAGCCACCCAGUUGUGGAUCACCAUUGCAACGCUCCAAGUUCCACCCUGUGGCCCUAAAGAUAGACUCAGAGAUUGAAUCCUGGGGCAGCUACUGGAAUCACUAGGUGGAAGGAGAGGAUUUUGGAGUCCCCCUCUUCACCACACACACAGGAGGAAUGACGGUGUGUCCCUUGAGUCCAUAUGGCUGCCUCACAAAGGGGACUGACAGAGAGGCCCAGCCCAACACGAGGCAUAACUGAAGGCCAGCCUGCACUUUCCCAGGUCCUCGGUUUCUAGAAUAAUGACCCCUUGGUAUCUGGGGGGACUAGUUCCAGGACCCCUGCAGACACCAAGUCCAGAGAUGCUCCGCACCCUCUCCUGAGUGGAGUGACAUUCACACAUGGCAUAUGCUCUCUUCCUGUGGACUUAGGUCAUCUCUAGACCUGUAAGACCCAGUAGGGUGUGAGUGCUGUGCAGCUAGCUGUGCUCUGUUGGUGACUGUGCCUGCUGUGCUCAGAACAGGGCACUUUUCUAAGACGCGGUGUUGAGCAGAGGUGGAUGGGCUCUGUGGAGGCGGAGCCCGCAGGACCCCAGGGCCAGCCACACACCCUCUUCCCUUUGCUCUAGUUGGAUGGAGUUGGGCUUCCUCUUCCUGGUCAAUGAAAGAAAGUCCUGAGGAAUCCAAAAAGGCAAAACCACAUACUUCAGAAUGCAGAGAAAAAGAAGGGCGCAGAGUCGUUGGUGGAAUGGAGGGAAGGGAGAAAGAGCUGUGGUUUUGAGGGGGGGGUCUGAAUGUCACUGGCAAAACAACGGAAGUCAAAUUAGGAGAUGGUUAAUACAGAAAAAAAAAACAGGAAUGUGUUCUGAUCUCAGGGGAAGGUGCAGUAUGUUUUAGGGAGGGCGCGAGUGGGCUUCGGCAUCCUGGCGGUGUCUGAUGCUAACGCUGGGCUUGGCCACGUGGUGCUGAUGUUGUUCUGAUCACUGUUAUUUCUUUACAUGUGCACAUGUGUGUGAGAAAUGGAAAUUCCAGCGGCCCAUUUCAGAGUACAGCGGUUAGCCUUAUGUGUGAAACUGAGAUGUCGGGGAGGCAGCUGGAGGGGAAAUGGAGCAGAGUAGAAAGUGACAGGCAGUUGACCUGUACAACAGCACACAGUCUACAGAUGUGGCAGACCCAAAGUCCACGCACCUGAACAGCCCAGGUGGGGCAGGGGUCGACCUGACUGAGAGAGAGUCUCUGUGCUGAGAGACAGUAACUUAGGUAAAGAAGAACUGCACGUGUGUCAGAAGGCAUUCACCCAGGAAGUCUGUCUUGCCACAAGGGAACAAAGGGAGGUGGGAACAACUAAAGGUAUGCUUCCUUAAAUAGCCCAACAGGAGACAGGACCACCUAGGCGACGUCCAGGAAGACUGUGCACCCCACAGCACUCAGCCAGCGAGGAGCCAGGUGACGAAACUUGCUGCUCAUCACGCCCUGGGAGUCCCUGGCCACUAGUCACCUGGUCUCACAGAUGUCAUUAAAGCCUUGCUUUCCCUGUACCUUGGUCUCUCAGUCCAUUCUUCGGGUUGGGACAGAGUCUCUGUGUGAUUCUGGUGUAAGGAGCACUGAACUAGGAAGAAUGGGAAGGCGGCAGCAACAAGUUACCAUUUGUAACAAUAUCUCCUAAGAUCAUUCCAGCUGGCUCAGGAGGACCCUCCUCCUCAGGGUGCAGUGCUGCUCAGAAGAUUGUGGUUCUCUUCACAAACCUGAGAAACCUGCAGAUCUGCCUGGCCUGUCUCCUUCAAGACAGGCUGUCACAUGACCUGUGUCGGUCACUGAUAUGUGAGCAACAGUGACAGACAUCAAUUCCAGGCAGUGCCGCUGAAAGCAGAAGUGCCUUCCAGCUCUGCCUACCUGUGGGAGCUUCCUGGAGCUGCCGGAGAAUUUACCAGAACUGGGUGCUCUCAGAAGUGUAUUCUUUCAUGAUCCUAGGGGCUACAAGUCCAGCAACAGGGCCACAUUCCUCACCAAGACACUGGGGACAAGUCCGUCCUUGCCUCUUCCAGGAUCUGAUAGUAGCUGGCAAUGCCGGUGCUCCUGGCUUUGUAGAUGUGUCCCUCUGAUGUCUGCCUCCAAUUUCAGGUGGCCUUCCCUUCUGUGGGUCUCCCCUGCAACUCCACCCAAACCUCCUUUUCCUCUAAUGAUGACACCCGAGUCACUGGACCACACACUGAAACCCAGUCCCACCCUCACCUUCAUCUUUGAUCACAUCUACCUCCUUCCACAUCAGGUUACAUUCACAGGUGACAAGGGCUAGGAGUUGAAAAUAGUUUCGUGGGGGACACAGCUUAACCUCCUAUACCACCUACGUUGUCCAUCAUGUUAAAAUGCAGUCUUCACCAACCAGGGCCGCCGAGUGGCUGGCUGAGACGGGUUUGUCUGCCGGCUCAGCUCGUUUUAGUCAUACGUCCUCUGAACAGAGUGGCGGGCAGUUCACCUGCACCAGGUCCACGACAUUUAGUGGAUUUGUGUGAAUUAAAUAUCUACACUGUGCAUUGUCUGCUUGCAACCUGUCUCCAGACUUCCCUCUGCAGAAUAAUAUAUUCCUAUGGACCACCAGUUAUUUCCUGAGGGCUGGCUGUAUGUGUAUCUCUAAGCUGUGUGCAAGAGGCUUUCGCAGGAAAUUAGACACAAGUCCUAAUCAGGAGUGCGCAUCUAAUUGGGUGAGCAAACUAGAAAAGACCUAUAUCAGUGUUGGUUAAAAUUUCCAGCAGAGACCUAGGUAGUAAAAUUCACUAAGAGGUAACCCUAACAGGGCUCCCCAUCUAGUCCAGGUACUGUGCUUAGUAUUUUACAGGUGUUGUUCCCUUAAACCCCCAAUGAAGGUUGUUCCCUUAAACCCCCAUGACUAUAACCCAUGAGACUAGUAUUUUUGUCCUUUUACAGGGGAGAAAACAGAGGCUGAAAGAGGUCAAGGGGCUUGCCCAGUGGUCACAAAGGUUUCCUGUCCAGGUCCACCUGACUCAUGAGCACAUAACCCGGCUGGAUCACGCCUUCAGUUCAGCAAAGCCUCAGCCGCCGUGGGGAUGCAGGUCUAUACUCCCAAACACACAGUUUGUCUGAAUGCUUUGGCAUGAGGGAGCCCCACAGUCUGAAACUUUGUCCCAGCUCUCCUUACUGCAUUUAUUAAAGAGGCUGAAAGACACAUCUGCUUUUCAACAACUUGUGGUCCUUAAGGGACAGGGGAAAGCAGAGAUCCUGGCCAUUGGGGAAAAUCUGGGCAUCCCAAAACCAGGGA